GAUUGCCAUGUACACUUCCAGUGUAACAAGACCAUCAAUGAUUCCUCAAUUGCCUCACUAACAAUUUCAUUUCCCAGAAGGUGGAAGAAGCAACAAGGGGGUCGUCUAUCUUGGACAUGGUCCUCAUCAAUAGGGAGGAAGUGAUCAAUGAUACGGAAGUACAGGCAACCUGGGAGGAAGUGAUCAUAUCCUCUUGGGUUUCAUGAUACACAGAGUUACAAGUUUGUUGGAUCAGGGGAAUGCUGUGGACGUAGUGUAUCUUGAUCUAAUGUAUCUACAUGGAAGAUGGAACAAGGUUGUUUUCUCAUGUUCCAGAGGCUAGGACCCAGAUGCAUAGAAAAAAUAAAAGUAGUAUAACUUCAAGAAGAAUACAAAACAUUGAGUGGAUCCAGACAAAUAAAAUAAACUGAAUUCGAUCAUCUAAACAAUAGUGAAAAGACAAGUUUGUUAAGGUUUUCUUAAAUGCCAGAACUGAAAGGCUGUAGCAACUGUUUUUACCUUCCUUUCCCUUUCUUGUUAUUAAGUUAUCGAGCAAAGCAAACUAGAAGAGAAUUCAUAUCUUGAAGAGUUUUAUUGAAGACUGAUGUUAAUGCUGACCCCAAUUUUACUUUCUUCAUAUACAAAGUUAACUUGCUUUAGCUGUCAAAAGCUACUAAUACAAUCUACAACAAGAAAGUACACACUGUAACAUUGUCAUUUCUGUGACAAUUGCUCUGUAGUUCUAUAGAUGUGCUAAAUGUAGAGAUAGUCUUUGCCCCCACCCCCAGGAGAACUCUUUUACAGGAAAACCUUUUAAUACUUUGCCAUCUUGUUCAAUGACAUCAAGCGCAGAUACCCAUCACCUUUUCCAUACGAUAGUUUGGUUUUCCAUAGAAAUAUCUAUUCAAGUACUGACCGAAGAUGACCCAACAUACCACAUGAGACCUGAAAAGAUCACAGAAUGGAGAUUUGCAAUAUGUCUGUGGGUCGUGUAUUAUUGGUUGAAGUCUCGUUAUUAAAAUCAAAACUGUCUUU